CGAGUUUAAAUCUUAAUGGCCUUGAUCCUAAACCCUAAUUACUAGCAUUCCCAUGUGGUUUGAUCGACAUAAGACGAUUCAUCUGGAAAAACAAAAACAUAAAGCAUAGAUGAAGAUAAAAAGCAGAAGAAGGAGGCCGAUAGAGAUCAAGAACUGGAUGCAUCAACGGUGACGACUGGAUUUGCAGGUGGAGGCGACAACGAUGGGGGCUAGAUCUUGAGAUAGUGGCGGCUACGACAACUUUUGCGAUUAGAACUAGAUACAAUGGUGGUGGGGAAGAACUGAUGUCCGACGAAGUAACAGAGGCUACGACAACUGUUUAUAUGAGGGAUGUUUUCUUUAGGAAGAGAAAGAGGAGAAGAUAUUGGAGAAAGGGAAAAAAAAACUAGAUAGAGAAGGCACCUCUAACGACUAUUAGUGAAGGUUGUCGGAGGUGGAGGGCGGUGGUUGUGGGUUGUGGAAAAACCCUCUCAAACUCCACAACCCUCCUUUCCUAUAUCUAAAGAAGAGCAUGCGACAUUUCUUGAUAGUUACAUUGUGCCUCAAGAACAUAAUCGAUUUAUGUUGAUGGUUUAUUCCAGGUCCAGAUUUUUUCUAUGACUAGCUUUGAUGCGAUCACAUUAGAGGAAUCCUUCUUUGGGUUCUAAUUCAUCCGGUCAAUUGGCGAGAAAGAAUAAAACAAAGGAUAUAAAUGUAUGUGUCCCUUUUUCCCUCUCUAUAGUUGAUUAUAUUUUAUUGCAUUGACCGGUUGAACAUGGAUCCGAAUUUUAGAUUAUGAGUUAUUGCUUUUUGUAUUUUAUGCUUCUGUUGUGUGUGCCUUUGUGGCCAAAGGUCCUCAUAACCCAAGAUUAUGUUCAAUCGGUAUUAUGCCCCAUUUGUGAGCGAUUUAAAGAGUCUGCAAAGCUUUUUUUUAGUUGUGCGGUUACGGAUCAAGUUUGGAGAUCGAUUGUGAAGUGGUUAGAUUUACAUUUCCCUUUGUUUAAAAGUUGGUCAUGUGUGAUUGAUUUUGUUGACGCCUUUGAUGGGUUGGGUCGAAAGAAAAAAGCUUUAGAGGUUAUUAUAUUUUUCAUGGUUUGGAUAAUUUUGUGGCAACAUGGUUUUUACUUUUUAAUUAGAAUGCCUUUCGAAAGAGUAUGAUUAUCGAUCGAAUCGUUCUUAAUUCUUUUCAUUGGUUGUUAAAUAGGAUUAAUAGAUUUAGUCUUGAUUAGAACUUUUUGCUUAAAAAUACCAUAAUGAGCAUCCCUUUGAAAUUGUUAUUUUGUUGCUCAAGUUUCUUGCUAAAAUGUUGUUUAUAUUUGAGAAAACUGCAAAAAAAAAAAAAAAAAAGUCCUUACAUCCUUAUCCAGUCAUUCUGCUCAAAUGUUGUAGAACUCGGUGUAUUCUUCAAUGCUCAUUGCAAUCAAUCCUAUAAUAUCAGCAAAUCAUAUAAUCUUUAACGGAUCAUCAAGCAUAAUCCCAUUAAAUCAGGAAGAGAUCACUCCAUAUUUGUUGAUCUAAACCCUAAUCCUCACAAACUUACUCUGGAUUUAGGCUUUACAAUAUUGAAUCGACCACCACCAAGCUCCACCGCCUCCACCUUUUCAUCUGGUUUAUUUCUCUUUCUCCUUUUUUUUCUUUUUCUUUGCAUCCUUAUUCUUCGAAAACAAAUGAGUGUACAUGUAAGCUUCAAUUUUGGUUUUUUGUUUUCUUUUUUCUCUCUCUCUCUCUCUCUCUCUCUCUCUCUCUCUCUCUCUCCUUCAUCGCCUCUCUCUUUCAGGUAUGUUUUGAUGUGAAGGGUUAUCUUGGACUGUUGUGAGUUGAUUCCACGCCUUUUUUGGUUCCACAAUCGACAAGUUCCGCUACUUCUUCUAUUGCUGCAUGUCACGCUUUUCAGGUUAGGGCUUGCCUCCCCCAUGUCGUUGUUUGAAGCAACCAGAACUCCCAAAAGAAACGAUCGGAGAAUGCCUUCAUGUUCAUCUAUAACAUGGCUUUUGAGUUACUUCAUUGUCAUCCCUUCCCCUGUAUAUUUCUAUACUCCAAAUCUCCACUGGUAAUCCAAAUACUCUUGAGACUUUAACAUCGCUUCCUUGUGAAGUUUUGGAUGCUUAUAUCUGCAAGUUUGGAAUCAGACCAAUGGGAUGGGACAACGUUAUGGCUACUACAUCAUUUGUGAUUAGGUAAUGUAUAUUUUUAGUUACUUCACUACUUCCACCAAUGUAAUAUAAGCCUAUUCUAUUAGCUAUCAUUUUGAUAUGUGAUUUUCAUUAUGGUGAACUACCCCCUGAUUUUAUUCUAAACCAACGUUGAUAUUUUCAUGUUAAUCUGUGCCUGCAUUGAUAUAUUUUAGAACGUUGAAGCUUUUGGAUUUGAUGUAGAGAUAGAAUAAAAUAAAUGAUAACAUGAAUGAGGAAAAAAAAGAAGGAUGUAUUGUGAAAUGUGACAAGUUUAAUUAUGCUCACUAAAUGCUCGAUGAAAUGCUUAAACCAUAUCUUAUUUCUAAUUCCCCUUACCACAAUCGGAUACCAAUCAGAUAUGCUAAUUCAAUCUUUUAAUUAGUAUACUUUUUGAAUGGUUGAAAGGUGUCGCAUUCAAAUUGUAGUAGAUAGGAUCUCGAAGACAAUUGAUAAUGAUAUUACAAUGAGUUCAAUCAAGUAUUCUUUUUCAUUGUUUUAUUAAAGUGGUGGUUAAUAUUUGCAUAAUGUCAAGUUGUAGCUACUCUGAAUCUUCAUAGGUCAUUUUCACUGUAGGUUAUGCUAUAAUGCAAGGAUUCACUCAAUGGAAUCUUGAUUUUGAUGCAAAUGGACAAAGAGGCACAUGCAUCACAGGUAUUUGAUUAAAGGCCACUUUCAUAUGAGUUGUCAUAUGUACUGACGAGGGCAAAAUGGUCCUCCAGCGAAGUUGUUACAACUAGAAGAAUGAAAUUAUGAUACUUAAUUUUGGAAGCCAUAUCAUUUUUUUGUUAUCUGUUGGAUAAUAACAUACUCUUCACAACUUGAAAUUUCUCUAAUCAAGGUACUCGAAGAUAACCAAGACCCAUAUUUCCAUAAGAUUUCAAACCUUGAUGGAGUAAAUAUUGUGUUUUCCUUGAAUUUGUUAGAGGUUGAUACUUUUGUUGGUGUUUUACAUAGGCUUAUUAAUGUGUUUAGUUGACUUUUGAUGGCUUUCAGUUGUGUGUGUGAUGGUACCCUGUUUUUGAUUCUUGAUUAUGACAGUUUGUUUACAGUUUCCUACCAAAUUUGACGCCUACUCAAGCAAAUGAUCCUCCUAUAUAUCAAAGUUUUUUGGUUCGAGGCGCAUUCAGUUUGGCCUAUGGGAGUUGGAAUACUAGCAACUAUUACAUCUUUUAUGUCUAUUAAAAAAAAUCAACAUCCUUGCAAGUAGUGUUGACCCAAAAAGGGUAAAAAGGUUGUUCUAAGUAUUGUGAUAUGUAGUAGCCAUUGUGUUGUCCCUAAUCAAAUGUAACUUAUUUGUAAUAUUAAUAAUGCUACAAUUUAAAUUUAACAUUAUAUAUCGGCAAUUGAUUAAAUAUAUUUGUAUAGUGA